ACGCGACCAGGUUGGCUCGGCAUUCGCCUCUCUUCCACACAAGCUCGGCGCGGCGGCUGCUCUGUUAUUUCAGACAGGCGCACCGCGGCGGCGAUUCCCCGCCGGCGAGAUGUCGACCGACGGCCUCGAGCUCGACGGAUCUGAUUGUCGGACGGGGGGAGCACACAUCGCCGGAUGGAAUUGUACUAUGUUCCGAGUGGAAUCCCAGGAUUCCAUGAGUGCGCUAGCUCUAUAGACGGAGAAGGCCGGCGAAGCUCAGGAAGCUGGAGAUGGGCAGAGAUACGAGACACCGUUUCAGGGUUUGGAUUGGGAAAGCACCGGAUGAGAGGGAAAUACACCCGAAUACGAAGACAUCACUUGAAUUGUCUGUACGCGCUUAUGUAGAGAAACAGAAUGGCCAUGUUGUCAAUCCUACAAUUGGCACAAGUUUUGACUUGUUAGAUGAGGGUUAUGAAUUCUACAACCUUGACUCAUGGGAAUGUGGUUUCUAGCAAAAAGUAGAUUGAAUGUUCAGCACUAGAGAUGCAUGCAAGAGACUGUGUGUGCUUGUGUGGUCUGUACUUUUAAAUGCAGAUCUUUGUGCUAGUUCCUGAUGUGUAUUGUUGAAACCAAACUGGACAGUUUUGGAGACUGGAAACUUGACGUUAUUUGUAUGUCA